GUUGAGAAUAGAUACAUUGUGGUUUAAAUUAUUCUAGAAUUAUUAAAACUCAGUUCACUAAAUGACUAAGUUUAUAUACUUACACUUCUACCAAUAUAGCAAAAAUGAAAAAUCGCCACUGCGUAUAUAUGCAUAUGAAAAAAGAGCAGCAUCACGAAGUAGAUUAUAAUUACUUUUCUUACAAUUUACUUAUAUAAUUAAUAAAAUAAAUUUAAGAAGAAAUGAAAUAUCAAAUUUUUUAUCUAUAUUUAUAAUUAAAUAUAUUUUAUAUGUAUACGUAGUUGUUAUAUGUAUGAACGUACAUAUAUAUGUACAUUCGUAUAUAAACAAAUUUAACACAUAUAUAUACAGAAAUAAAUUUUUUAUUUUGGAGCA